rnacentral:rRNA from 1 species
CCCGGGCCUUGUACACACCGCCCGUCAAGUCAUGAAAGUCGGUAACACCCGAAGCCGGUGGCCCAACCCUUGUGGAGGGAGCUGUCGAAGGUGGGAUCGGUGAUUAGGACU